GUUGCCAGCAGGCCCUUGUGGUGCUGGGGACUCACGGGAGACCGCCGGGGUCAACUCGGAGGAAGGUGGGGACGACGUCAAGUCAUCAUGCCCCUUAUGUCUUGGGCUGCACACGUGCUACAAUGGCUGGUACAAUGAGCUGCGAUACCGUGAGGUGGAGCGAAUCUCAAAAAGCCGGUCUCAGUUCGGAUUGGGGUCUGCAACUCGACCCCAUGAAGUCGGAGUCGCUAGUAAUCGCAGAUCAGCAUUGCUGCG
rnacentral:rRNA from 1 species